CCUACGGGUGGCAGCAGUGGGGGAUAUUGCACAAUGGGCGAAAGCCUGAUGCAGCGACGCCGCGUGAGGGAAGACGGUCUUCGGAUUGUAAACCUCUGUCUUUGGGGAAGAAAAUGACGGUACCCAAAUAGGAAGCUCCGGCUAACUACGUGCCAGCAGCCGCGGUAUUACUUAGGGAGCAAGCGUUGUCCGGAAUUACGGGGUGUAAAGGGAGCGUAGGCGGGAUGGCAAGUAGAAUGUAAAAUCCAUCGGCUCAACCGGUUGGUGCGUUGUAAACUUCCGUUCUUGAGUGAAGUAGAGGCAGGCGGAAUUCCUAGUGUAGCGGUGAAAGGCGCAGAGAUUAGGAGGAACACCAGUGGCGAAGGCGGCCUGCUGGGCUUUAACUGACGCUGAGGCUCGAAAGCGUGGGGAGCAAACAGGAUUAGAUACCCCAGUAGUC
rnacentral:rRNA from 1 species